UCGAGCGGAUGACGGGAGCUGGCUCCUUGAUUCAGCGGCGGACGGGUGAGUAAUGCCUAGGAAUCUGCCUGGUAGUGGGGGACAACGUUUCGAAAGGAACGCUAAUACCGCAUACGUCCUACGGGAGAAAGCAGGGGACCUUCGGGCCUUGCGCUAUCAGAUGAGCUGAGGUCGGAUUAGCUAGUUGGUGGGGUAAUGGCUCACCAAGGCGACGAUCCGUAACUGGUCUGAGAGGAUGAUCAGUCACACUGGAACUGAGACACGGUCCAGACUCCUACGGGAGGCAGCAGUGGGGAAUAUUGGACAAUGGGCGAAAGCCUGAUCCAGCCAUGCCGCGUGUGUGAAGAAGGUCUUCGGAUUGUAAAGCACUUUAAGUUGGGAGGAAGGGCAGUAAGUUAAUACCUGGCUGUUUUGACGUUACCGACAGAAUAGGCACCGGCUAACUCUGUG
rnacentral:rRNA from 1 species